UACGAAGGGUGCAAGCGUUACUCGGAAUCACUGGGCGUAAAGCGUGCGUAGGCGGUUCGUUAAGUCUGUUGUGAAAUCUCCGGGCUUAACUCGGAAAGGUCAAGUGAUACUGUUGUGCUAGAGUGCGGAAGGGGCAACUGGAAUUCUCGGUGUAGCGGUGAAAUGCGUAGAUAUCAGGAGGAACACCGGUGGCGAAGGCGGCUUUCUGGACGACAACUGACGCUGAGACGCGAAAGCGUGGGGGAGCAAACAGG
rnacentral:rRNA from 1 species